GGUGUGAAUUGCAGAAUCCCGUGAACCAUCGAGUCUUUGAACGCAAGUUGCGCCCCAAGCCGCCAGGCCGAGGGCACGCCUGCCUGGGCGUCACGCA
rnacentral:rRNA from 2 species